rnacentral:rRNA from 1 species
GAUGAACGCUGGCGGCGUGCCUAAUACAUGCAAGUCGAGCGAACAGACGAGGAGCUUGCUCCUCUGACGUUAGCGGCGGACGGGUGAGUAACACGUGGAUAACCUACCUAUAAGACUGGGAUAACUUCGGGAAACCGGAGCUAAUACCGGAUAAUAUAUUGAACCGCAUGGUUCAAGAGUGAAAGACGGUUUUGCUGUCGCUUAUAGAUGGAUCCGCGCCGCAUUAGCUAGUUGGUGAGGUAACGGCUUACCAAGGCAACGAUGCGUAGCCGACCUAAGAGGGGGAUCGGCACACUGGGACUGAGACACGGGCCAGACUCCUUCGGGAGGCAGGCGGGGGGAAAUCUGCAGAAUGGGGGGAAGCCUUAUCGAGGAAAGCCGCGGGGAGUGAGAAGGCUUUCCGGUUCGAAAAUCCUUGUAUUAGGGAAGAACAAAUGUGUAAGUAACUAUGCACGUCUUGACGGUACCUAAUCAGAAAGCCACGGCUAACUACGUG